UCACUAAUCACUUGAUUAUCUUAAGACUUUAUGAGACCAGGGUGUCCAAAAUAUAAGUGAGCAGAGCUUCAGGAAACAAAUCUAGGAAGACCUCUUUUCCAGGCAUGGUAUCUCAGAGUUAUUGGUGAUAUGCAUGUUACAUUAUCAAUGAUGGGGUCUGAUCCUCUUGGAGUUUAACUAUGGAAUAUGUUAAAUCCCAUGUUUUGCUUCUUCUAAUUCUACAGCUGUGAGCUAAAAGAAGUUCUAGAUGUGAAUUCAUGGGAUUUCCUUUUGAAAAAAUCUGCAGAACUUGGUCCCAAACCUUGCAUGUGGUCAACAUUCGGUUUAUAUAGGGAUAAUGGAGAUUGUGACUAAAGCAAAGACUCUUUUCUCUCCUGAGGAAAAUAUUAUAUCAGGCUACUUGCAGAACAGAAAGGACUCUGCAGCUGUUUUGAAGCUGUGAAGCUUUUCUGGAUAAAGUUCUGGGACAUCCUCCUGACUCAAAGCAUAAGCUCUGGUCAACAAGACAUAAAUGGACCAUGUCCUCAUGAAGACUGCAGUGGAAAGGAAAGACCAUAAGUGAACGAAACGGCAAACAAGCAAAGUACUACACAAAUAUAUUUUGGCUAGAAUAGAAACUAAGUAAGAGUGGGAAUUGCAGACAAAUAUGGAUGCCAUUUUCCUGGCUUGGCUCAAGGAUUUCAGUGGAAUUACAGAGAAGAAGAAGAAAAGUCUAUUAUUCUACUUUCACCUCAUCUGGUUGAGUUACAUUUUGUUAGUGUUCCUCCAAAACCUAAGUACAAGUUUGACUUUUAUUUAGGAUAUGGAAGGCCACAGAGAAUUCCACUUUCUCUCCAAUGAUGAUAAAAAGCCAUGUGCAAAAUUAUUAUUUGAACUCAUCAUAGAGUCAAGGUUGCAAGAGUACCAGGUAACUGGCAUUUCAUAAAGUCCCUGGGGGAGCAAAUCAAUCAGCAUGAUACAUCACACCAGUUGUGUGUAUGAUCAUUUCAAUAGAUGCAGAAAAAGAAUUUUACAAAGUACAACAUCCAUUCAUGAUAAAAACCCUCAACAAAGUAGGCUUGGAGGGAACAUACCUCAACAUAAUAAAGAUCAUAUAUGAAAAACUCAUAUCUAAUAUCACCAUUAUUGGGGAAAAACUAAGAGCUUCUCCCAUCAGGUCAGGAAUAAGACAUGAAUGUCCACUCUCAAUAUUUAUAUUCAACGUAGUACUGAGAGCCCCAGCCACAGCAAUCAGACAAUAAAAAGAAACAAAAUAUAUCUGAAU